AGAAACUUAGGUUAAUUCAGACCAAGAGCCUUCAAAGCCCUAAGUAGAAGUUAAAAUCUUCUAGUUUCUG
rnacentral:tRNA from 1 species